CUAUGUACUUAUAUAUUUCCUUAGGGAGUAAUCCUAUGCUGUCAAAAACCAUAAAAGCGUAUGCUCUUUUGGGAGGCAUUGCAUGGAUUUUGGUUUUCUUUUGGGGUCAAUGAUUCAUAGAAUUUCUUCUUGGUCUUCCCUUGUAUUCUCUCUUCUCACUACCUAUUUUACUGUUAUCUCUUCUAUUUCUCUUUCUUUAAAAGCUUUUCAGCUGAAAUUUCUACCUUCGUAUGCCUCUUCAAUCGGAUUUUGAUGGAUCUUGUGGAGUUGAUUUUGUCAAAUCUGAAUUCAAUAUGUUGCAGCAAUGCAUCCUACCGCAUGGGAUUAUCUUAGACUAUGUGUCCACAAUAACGACGGCUUGUCUUUGCCUACGUAUUAAUCAUCUCUUUGAAAAGUUACUUUCACGGUGGUUUAUAAAUUGUUAUUCAUUGUCUGAAUUUUCUGUGUGAGUGCCCCAUGCCGUUAGACCAUCUCUUAAAAUGGAAGUUUUCUUGCUAGAUGCAUCUAUUGUAUUCUGCUUGUUUACGUUUGAGUGUGCCCCAUCUUGGCUAUUCCAAUGAACUUAUUGCUUCCAAUCUAAUGAGCUCCAUUGAAGCUUAGUUAUACAGAGGUCAGCAUAAGUGUUUGAAUACGGCUAUAACAAAGUACCAAUCUAUAUUUUAGCUGUGUUAAUUAUAUAGGAAUAUGAAGGGAAAAACUUUAGUUUAGUACUUCAACUAGUUCAUUGUGCAUCCUGUCACUUCUACUUCAGCUUGGAUGUAAACUGAUGUGAAUGGUUCACAUUGACUUGAUAUCAUGUGCAAUAUGAGAGACCACUGAGCUCUUCCCUCAAAGCAAUUAUUCUUUCCUAUCUGACUUAGAAUGGCCCUGUGCAUUUCAUAAUAAAAUCAGCUUCUAAAUCUGUGAUCUUAUGACAUAUUGUAUAGGCUACGUUGCUGAAUUUUUUAUUUAACCAAUUAUGGAGCAAAGCCAAUCCUUAAAAGAUUAAGAGAAGUUACCAUCAACUCAGUUGAUCGUUGAAUAUCUGCAACUGCAACCUGCAUUCUCUCGCUCUAGAUUGGUGCAUAAUUUCUAUUGCGAAGUUUUGCAAACCUCCAACUAGUUUUGUCUAUGUGCCAAUUAUGGGAUUUGAAUUAACUUAUCUUUUAGAUUUGCUAUACCAAACUUUUAACGAAAUGUUUUUUGCUGUUUUGGCAUUAUGUUGAACAUUGAUGUCAAAAUAACAUGUUUGCCAGCUUCUUGUAGUACCUGUAGGUGAAGCAGUCAGAGAGUCUCAUAUGUAUUCCUGUGAACUUAUUGCCCAAUCAAGCUACAAUGCUCCGAUACCAGAACUAAAUUCAUUAUUAUGAGCACAUUCUUAAAUUGCUGUCUCUCUUUGGGUGAUAUGAAGAUUUUGGAGAAGCACAAGUACUAACGUCCAAAGCUGGAGGUCAUAGCUGUACUCUUGUUUAGUUCAGAGAGACUGUUUUGAAAUGAUACAUUGCUUUUCUUUUUAAUGAGCUGUUGUAUUUUGAUGUUUAUUAGGAGGACGUUAUUAACUUCAUGAAGGUAAGUUACCAGGGCACAUUUCUUUGUUCCAGAAUCCUUCCGAUCUAGUUGUAAUUAUUCAUGAAAGCCUCUGGAUAAAACGGAAAUCCUAAAUUAGUUAAUUGUUUCAAUACUUUGGACUUUGAAUUGAUUUAGUAUGCCUCAUGAAACCAAUAAUUGCACAUCCUCCACUCUUAGAGUCUCAGUGUGAUAUUGACCACGGUACUGCCUGAGCAUUGCAUUCUUCCCACUGGUUGGCUCAUUGGAUUCCAUUCUACUGUUUAACUACUGCUGUUAUGUCAGUUACUAGCUGGCAAAUACUGUUAUUUCUACAAUUGUUUUGAAUAAUAACAAAUUUAUUACUCCUCCAACUUGGAACUGCCAUUGUUUUUUGAAGACUGACCUUCAUUCUUCAUUGAUUUUUUCCACAGCCGAGUAUGUGCUGCCUUUGAUGUUGCUCUCAAGUUUCACAGGAACAUACAAGAGAGGGACAUAGAAGUUGGUAGAAAUGUUGGUAACUGGAUUCUACGUUGGCUUGACCAAAUGAAAGCAUCUGCCCAGAUACGUGGUCCGCCUGAGAAACUGUCACAUGGCUCCAGCAUGAGCAUGACCAACCAUGGAAUGAAGUCCUCGAAUCCAAAAACUCCUGGAGUCCAAACAUCUAAACCAACCUUUUCUACCAUUGCCAUGAUGAUGCGGCAUCCAAGGCCUGCAGGAACCACAACCCAGUAUAGGCAUCUUGAGACAAAUGGAUCUGAUCUGUUGAGUUUGAACUACAAUAGAAAUGGGUUUGAUGGAGUGCUGCGAAAGGACAUUAUGCAGUGGUUGCUGCAAAAGUGAAGGUAGAAGCUUAUCAGACACCUGUUCCUUUCUGGAGUUUUAAUCACCAAUAAUUCAGUUAUAAUAUCUCACUCAAACCGCUCGCAUUAUUGGACUCCUAAAUUUGAAAUUCAUCCAUGCUAGUUAUGGACAUGUUGCUUGAUGCACUAAUUACUGGAGGGCUGCGUGCUGCGAAAGCUGGCAAAGAUAGGUUUUAGUUGUUCUGCUUCUGUACUCAAAGAUAGUAAUUGUUCUCUCCGUUUUCAGUGACUAGGUUUUUUGUUUCCGAACCAGUAACUGCAUAGUUGCUUCUGGUAAUGUUUGUUUGUUUCUUUGUUUGUGAUGCACAUUCCCCCAGAUUGGAAACGGCUGUGGUGAUGGCGAUCAUCUUUCUCUGUACUUGGCUUUGGGAGAUUCCACAGUCGAGGUGAUUAAAGAAUAUAUAUGCAGAGCAUACAUUGCGAAUCAUAGAUCAAGUGGGGGCGAAACAUAAAUCUUUUCGAGGUAAAAUGUGUGUGUUUACAUGCAAUUAGUAUUUGAGGCAAAUCCAAAUAAUAUAACGAGAGUGUUCCUUUUACUCUAGCAGAGAAUAAAGACUGGUUCCAUACACCAAGCGAUAACUGUGGCCGGCCAAGAUUCAUUUCAUUGAGUGAGUUAGAUGAGCCAGAGACUGGAUUUCUAGUGAAUGGCGUUUGCGUGGUGGAAGGCUGGAAGUGGAAGCUGAGGUCACUGUGCUUGUAAUUUCCGAGCCAUUAUAACAAGUAAUUAAUUGUCCUCCAAAUGGGUUCUUUUAUUGUGUGAUGCUGACUGCCUGGUUAAUCUAGGAAAUUUAUUUUAGCUAUCAGGAAAUUUAUCUCUCUUGUGGUUUUCCAAAAUAACUCUUACGUUGUUUAUUGUUUAUGCUGUCCAGCUAACUUUUUAGUGUGAUUUUGGUUUUCUAUUUCUCUGCAUCUCUUUAAGGAGAAAUUCACUAUAUUCCCUACGCUGUAAUGCUUCUCUUCGAAGAUUUUGAUUUAAAAAAAUAAGAAAAAAGAAAAAAAAUGUAGUUGAAACGAAGAAAAUUAGGAUGCAAGAGAACUAAUAAUUUCACUUAGUAAGAAAAUGAAAACAAAGUAGAAUAGAAUCUUGUUGAAUUAAUAUUCGAUAAAUUGAUAACUCUAAUUAAAUAAUAGUUUUUGUCAUUGUAACUUAUAGUCCAUAUGGUAAAUUAAUAAUUCGAUAAAUUUUAUUAGAUAAUAUAUUUAAAAAUAUUAUUUUUCUAUAGUAGCCAAUUAAUACAUGUAUUAAUAAUUAAUUAAUUUAAAGCUAAAUAUAUAUUAUAUGUCUAUGAUUUUUUUUUUUUUUGGGUUGUACUGACAUAAUGCUUCAUGCAUUUUAUCGAUCAUUAUUACUUUUUUUACAAGAGAAGUUAUUGUUGUAUUAUAUGUGUUGUGGUAAGAGAAAUAAGAGAGAGAGAGAGAGAUCCAAAAAAUCUCUUUUGAUGAGUCACCAUGUAAUCGUGAUCUAGUCAUGCAAUCUAACCAAAGAAUUAUCAAGUGAUUGAUUCAGUCAAUCAAGAUCAAAUCAAAAUCCUAUCAUACAACGUGAUAAAAUCACUAAAUUCUCUAAUUAUGCUAUCACUAUAUUUCAUAAAAAAAAUUCAAUUAUCAACGUGAUAUUAUAUCUAUAAAGAUAAAUAAUAUUCAUUAAUUUAUGGAUAUAGCCAAAGUGUCAAACUGCCAACCAUUUUGUUAAUAAUCCAGGGAAGCAAGAAAAUAAGGCUUUUUGCGGUUGAUUAAAGUCCUCGCAAACAAACCAUAUUUACUAGUAGUGGCAUGGAUAAUACUAAUUAAUUACUAAAUUAAUUAUACUAGCAAUAAUUAUACUAGCAAUACUACCUUAGGAUAUUUUGUAAAUUCUCUAGUAAUACUACCUUAGGAUCACUAAAUUUUCUUUACUCAAAAAAAUCACUAAAUUUUCUAAUUAUACUAGCUCAGAAUCACUAAAUUCUCUAAUCAUGCUACCACUAUAUUUCAUAAAAGUUCAUAUUAUCAAUGUGAUAUUAUUUCUAUAAAGAUAAAUUAAUAUUUAUUAAUUUAUGGAUAUAGCCAAAGUGCCAACCAUUUUGCUAAUAAUCCAGGGAAGCAAUUGAUCCACUACAAACCAUAUUUACUAGUAGUGGCGUUGAUAAUGCUAACUAAUUACUAGUACUAUUUCUACAAUGAGCUAUUUUGAAUUGCAGAACUCUAAUUUCUCAAGUUACGUCAGUCAAAUUUCCUCUCGAAACCAUCAAAUCUCACAAAAAACCUCUGUUCUUGGACUGAGGCAAUGGCGUUUCCUGUGUGUAGUUGGAGCUUUAGUGUUUUUAUUUGAAAGAAAUAGUGAAGAAAAAACAUGUCCUUAUCAGUACCACCAACUCAAUUUGCAAAUUAAAAAAAAGUGAGAGAGAGAUUAAUCGACAGAAACUCACUUCCGGCUCUUGGUUCAUUCCAUCUUUGCUAGCUUAUGCUUCUACCAGGUGAAUCCAACAUGGAAUUGGAAAAAACUAAUAAAGUUAGAAAUGACAAUAGCAUAAAAAACUCGGGAUUCCCUCCGCCAAAAUAUUACUUGAAAAGAGAAUAAGGGAAAUGCCUAGGAUCUCCAGCGAGAAUCUCAACUCUCAAGAUGAGACCAGAUAAUAAUGUAAUGCUAGAGAGAUAAUGUCAGAAGGGUAACUUUCCUUAGCCAUAGAAGCAAAUUAUGCAAACCAAAAUUAUCCAGCAAGCCAAUAUGAAUUCUUUUCAUCUCAACCUGCUCAAAAACAGAGCAAGAUAAAGCUUAAAUAAUAAUGUGAAAGCUCAAAAACAGAUCAAGAUGAAUCUUUUCAAUAAUGUGAAAGUAAAUAAAGCAAUAAGGUGAAGAGUUAUGGAUUUUCCUAAUGCUUGCGUAAACAAUCACGACCGAGGAAAACUUUCCUGAAAUAAGAACAGAAAUUUUAAUGCCACCUACAAAUGGGAUGAUAGAACAAGUUGUCAUUCACAUAUUGCUUAUUCAUCAAUCUUUUCACCUUUGGUUAAAGUCGGGAGGUAACACUCAAUUUAUGGAGGAACCAACAAACAAAAGAUGCAUUUUUUGGUAGUAUGAAGACAAUUGAACCAACGAGCGUGAAGGCCCAAAAAAUAUAUAUAUAUAAUAAAAAAAAAAUGAAGUAGAGAAUUGGUGACCCAGGUCAUAUGACUUUAGUAUGCUCGGUAGUAUCAUUUUUUAUAAAUUUCUGAGACUUUGUUUUGGGGUUGUGGUUAUAAGCUUUCGGGUCCCACGUCACAUGAUUUUCAGCCAAGCAAAAUUUAGUCUCCCUUUUGUCAGUCAAUUUGUUUCAGAAACUUUGAUGGUGAUCAAAUCAAAAUUGAUGCUUCUAUUCAUGUAUCAGCUAGUGAUAAUCGUGGCUCUGUUUUGGACUUCAGUAACUUUGAAGAGCUAGCUAGCGGUCUUGUAGUUGUUUGACAUUAUAUGCGAGGGAGGAAGGUUAUGUUCUUUUGUGGUAUCACUGCUCCAUUAACACUUUGCCCAUGUUUGAGUAUCAUAUUGGCAUUUUUACGUUGAUUAACUAAUUAACAUAAAUAAAUAUCAUCUAAGCUGCUAUGCACAACGCUAUGGUUGGAUCUAAUUAGGAUUCAAUAAUAUCGUAUUUUUCAAUAUUAACUUGGGGAUAUUCUUUCGAUCUAGACUUACUUCGGCUUUGAGCUUUGAAGUACAUUUUAAUACUUGCACAUUAUUAUACAUGCGAUUAAUAUCUAUAUAUUUGUUAUGUUUACUUUAAUUAUUAACAGUCAAGAAAUUUCUUCCCGCAAAAUAGUCUGUGAAAUGAACAAUCGCUACAUAAUCAGUGGUUGCUAAAACAAACUACUGUGUAGUUCAAGGUUAAAUCAAAUUUAGUGUGCAGAAUUGCAUAUUGCAACAUUAGGAAAAAAAUUGAAUGCAUGCAUAAUCAGUGGUUGCUUGUAAUGUGAUAGAUACCAUGGGAAAGGAAAGACGGUUUAAUGGACUGAAGCAUGUAUGGGGUUUUGAUAAAUUCAUGCCGCUUGGAGCUUUCAAUGAUGAUUCGAAUGGAUACCUUGUCGAUGAUACGUGUGUUUUUGAAGCUGAAGUCCUUGUUAAAGAAAGAAACAAGUUCAAAGGAGAGUGCCUAUCUAUGAAAGAAAUUUCAAUUAGUUAAAGUAUACGUAGAGUUUACAUUUCGAAUCUUGGAUCAAGUUCGGGCAAUGCAUAAAUCUUCUUAAGGCACAUUGCUUGUUUUAUUACGCAACUAAUUUAGUUGCCACUGGCAACUUGACUGAGUGAUUUUCAAACAGUUUUCUUUAACUUUUGAUUCUGAAAGUAUCUUUAACCCAAAAAAAUAAUAAUAAUAAGCUUAAUUUGAGGCUAUAGAAUUCAAAUAAUAUGUAUAAUGAGAAUGAUUCUUUUUCUCUAGGAGGUAGAGAAAGGUUCCAUUGAGUAAGUUAAAUGACCUAGAGAAUGGGUACCUUGUGAACGACGUUUGCGUUGUGGAAGCUGAGAUCACUGUGCUCAGAAUCUCCGAGGCAUUGUAAUAACAAGUAUUCUUCUUGGUUUCUCACGAAAUAAAGAAAUUCAUUGAUUUUAUGGCUAACUUAUGCGAUCACGUUUGUUCAUUGACAUAAUUCUUAAUCCUGGAAGGAAAUCUCUAACAAUCUUAAUCCUGGAAUAAAAUCACAUCUAUCAAAUAUUAACAAGUGAGAUGGUGACAAAAACUCUUUGUUUUUACUUAAAGAGAAGUAUUGAUAAGAUAAAUUGAGUACAAUAGAGGAAGAAAUUAAUAUUACAUAAAAGGAAUAUCAUUAUGGACAUUUAAGAAUUCAAAAGAAGUAGAUAUUAGAUUUUUAAAAAUAUGUUACUGCAAAAUAAGAUAAUUAAUUUGGUGAAUAUCAAUGGUCAUAACUAUCCACAACAGUGAAUUAGAUAUUAGAUUUUUAUUUGUGCUUGAUCAGAAAAGAGACGAGUUCUUGAUUCUUCAAGGUUAAUUAUUAUACUCAACAAUGUUUAUGAUUAUUUUGUUCUUAUUUAAUUAUUUAACUAAGAGCUAAUCGAUGAUUUGGGGUCACCUUCAUGUAAUAGAUGCCAUGGGAAAUGAAAGAAGCUUGAAUUAGGUUUUGAUCAAUUCAGAAUUUAAAGACGCUUCGAAUGGAUAUCUUGAAGGACAUACGUGUGUUUUUGGAGCUAAAGUCUUUGCUAAGAAAGGAACAAAGGCAAAGGAGAGUGCCUUUCAUGAUGAAAUUCACAUCUGCUUCCAUUUAUAAGUAUGUUUGGAAGAUGCAGAACCUUUCAAAGUUGCACACAAAGCGUUACGAAUCAAAAUCUGGAUUUGAUGCUCAAGUCCAGACGUUCAGAGUUCAUGAAAUCUCCAUUCGAACUAUAAUAUAUAAUAGCCUAAAUCUAGACAUCUGUACCUGAACACGACUAAUACUUAAGGUUCAUUUAUACAUGUGCGUUAUAUUUCUAUAUGGUAAUGUAGAAGAAAUUUGAAUAGUACAACUUGUUAAAAAGGUGCAUCAUGUUAAAACCACUUCUUCAAAUGUAUAAUGUAAAUGAUUUGCUAAAAUUUGUUUGUUUCUAUGUUCAUAUAUAUAAACUAGAUGCCACAUUUGAAAGUUAAUGUUUUAAUAAUUUGUUAAGUGGAACCUCUUAGUAAAUAAGUACAGAAUGCCGAGACUUUUUUUUUUUUAAUACUGAUUAAUCAUCAUAUUACUGCAUUACACAGAUAUUUACAACUGCUAUUAUAGCAGAUAUAUUACACUGAUAUUUACAAUCAGAAAUACAUGAUUGGGACUUAUAUUAUUACAUUGAAUUCUGUGAAGUACAUGCCCAGACAAAUAAUCCCUUACAGAAGAGGGAUGUCCAUACUCCACUCGUAUUGCACGAGGGAGAGGAAAUUUUUGAAAUAUUAAACAAAUAAGCACGUUAGCCCCCACAAAUGCUUUUGUGGGGGCUUGAACCGCUGCCCUCACAAUGCUUGUGAGGGCAGCAGCCCACCACUCCGACCAAGGCCGAAGUGGCCAGAAUGCCGAGACUUAAACUUUACCCUUGUUGAUUUUUUCAGGAAGGUAUGCCUCUAUCCCGAGGGACAGAGAGAAGGACCUGGCAGUCAUAUUUCUAUGUACCUGAUAUUUGGCUGACUUCUCAACUAUAACUCGUGGUUUUAAAAAUACCUUUGUUUCACACUGCAAAUCCAGGAUCAAGUGUAGUCAAAGCAUAAUCAUAAAACUUUACCCUUGUUAUUAUUAACCCAAGCUUUAAAAGGAAUUGAAGUUCAUCAAUAAGCGUAGUAACUAAAUACAGAUAACUUCAGGUUUCUAUUGUUGUUCCUGCAGCCAGUACAUGGUUCAGGAUCUCAAUCGAAGAUUGGGGCUGGCACAAAUUUGUUGAACUGAUUUACUUGAACAAGGCAAGCAAUGGUUUUCUUGUGAACGAUGUGUGCAUUGCUGAAGCAGAGGUGUCUGUGCUUAGAAUUUCCAAAGCCCUGUAAUAUAUACUCUAAUAAGCAUUGUUACUCUUGCAAGAAAAUUGCGAUGCCAAUUUUUUAAUUUUUUUUUUUUUUUUUAUCUUAUGAGCGUUAAAUAAAAUCAACUUAAUUUUCAGAUUAGAUCAAUAAGUAUUUACCGGACACUAAGUGCUGCUCAACCAUAGUAUUAAAUGGGGCCUAAAUUUUAGAAGUUAAUUUUAUAAUAUUUGAUAAUAGAAAAUAGAAUAACUAAAAUAUUGCUUGAGCUCGUAGAAAUACACGUUUUUUUAGUGGAAGGUACAUAUUCUUGUUCAUUUAUAUUGUAGUUGUUUUCUUACCGCUUACCAUCCAUUCUUGCAACCAAGCAAAGAAAUCAAUAUUCCUUGACCAAACCAAAUAAAUUAAAGAAUCAAUAUCCCUUCCUCCCAUUGCAUUCCCCUUUCCAUUCCAUUCUUGCAACCAUCAGUUUCCAAAACUUGGCGAAUAUCAAUAGUUAUUCUGACUCUUUCUGAAAGUUUAAUGUUGAAUUGUAUAAACCCUCAACCUUGGUGCUUUAUAUAUACCAUGGUCCCUUUUAGAUAUUUUAAAGAAGAAAUAUUAUUCUUGAGAGAAUAAUCUAACCCUUGAAAAAUCUUAUUAUAAUCAGUCUUUCUUUAGUACUAGUUUUUGUACCUGACGAAUUGCAGUAGUUUGGAGGAAUUCGUUGCAAUGGAAAAUGACUUCGUAGACCAAGUCGGUAUGUUCUCUGACUCUUUCCCCAGCUCCCCUUCUCUAUGUACCUUUGUAUAGGUGCAUUGAACAUUCUAGCCUGUCAUUUUCUGAUCAGUGUUAAAAUUACUCUUGACAGCAAUUUCAAGAUCCAUUUCACAUGUACCACCGGCACAAUUCUUACUAAAAAUAGAGGCAUUUUCAUCUCUUGUGGAGAAUGAUGUGGAAAAUUAUGAAUCUUUGGAAUUUGAUGCUGGAGGCUACAAGUGGUGUGGGCCAAAACCUAAUUGUACACUAUAUUCAUAUCACCUUAUUACUAAAUUACAUAUCAUAAUCUAAUAUGUUAUUUUGAAUUCAUGAUCGUUUUAGGAAACUUGUUGUCUACCCAAAUGGAAAUAAAAACAAAAGCGUGAAAGAUCACAUCUCACUCUACUUGGCUAUGGUAGACACAAGUUCACUUGGCCUUGGUUGGGAAGUCUAUGUGAUUUUCCGCCUAUUUGUGCUUGAUCAGAAGAAAGACGAGUUCUUGAUUCUUGAAGGUUGACUGUUACACUCAACAAUGUUUAUGAUUGUUUCGUUCUUAUUUAUUUGAGACCUAAUCAAUGAUUUGGACCGGGUCACCUUCAUGUGAUAGAUGCCAUAGGAAAAGAAAGACGUUUUCAUGGAUUGAAGCUAGAAUGGGGUUUUGAUCAAUUCAUUCCGCUUGAAGAAUUUAACGAUGCAUCGAAUGGAUAUCUUGUGGGAGAUACGUGUGUUUUUGGGGCGGAAGUAUCGGUUAAAGAAAGGAACAAAUGCAAAGGGGAGUGCCUUUCCAUGACGAAAUUGACAUCUGCUUCCAAUUAUAAACAUGUUUGGAAGAUCGAGAACUUUUCAAAGUUAGAGGCAAAGCUUUACGAAUCAGAAGUAUUCGUUGCUGGACAUCAAAAGUGGUAUGUAUAUUUUCUGAAAUGGUGUUCAAAUCCGGACGUUCGGAGUUUAUAAAAUUCGGAUUGAAAUAUGAUCAAAGUUGUACAUUUAACAGUAGUUUACAGCUCUAAUAUGUCAUAGACUAAAUCUAGACCUGAGCAUGACUAAUACUUGGGAUUCAUUUGUACAUGGCAAUAUAUGUAUGAGUUUUGAAUAAUACAACUUGUUAAAAAGAUACAUCAUGUUAAAAUCACUUCUUCGAAUGUAUAAUGUAAAAUGAAUUGUUAAAAUUUAUUUGUUUCCCUAUUCAUAAAUAUAAUCUAAAUGCCACACCUGAAAGUUACUGUUUAAUGGAAUGCAGAGACUUAGACUUUACUCUUGUUGAUUUUUUUCAGGAGUAUACAACUCAAUCCCAAAGGACAGGGAGCAGGUAGGGGCAGUCAUAUUUCUAUGUACUUGGAAUUGGCUGACUUUUCAACUAUAACUCAUGGCUCUAAAAUAUACGUGCAUUUUACCCUGCGAAUCCGGGAUCAAGUGUUGUCAAAGCAUCAUGAAAAAAAAAGUAAAUUAUUAUAAACCCAAACUUUAAUAGGUAAUACAAUUCAAUGAGAUAAAUACAAAUAACUUCAGGUUUCUAUUGUUGUUCUUGCAGCUAGUAACUGGUUCACUACCUCAAACACAAGUUGGGGUUGGCACAAAUUUUUGAACUCAGUUACUUUAACAAGGCAGAAAAUGGUUUUCUUGUGAAUGAUGUGUGCAUUGUGGAAGCAGAGGUGCCUGUGCUUGGAAUUUCUAAAGCUCUGUAAUGAAUAACUAAUAAGCAUUGUUACUCUUGCAAGAAAAAUGGGAUGCCAGUUUUUAAUUUUAUUGCUUAUAAUAAGAGUUAAUCUCAUUGUACCCAUACCUUUUGGCAAAGAAAUCCAGUUGCUGAUACUCGAUAAAAUUGGUUGUUAAGUCUCCACAUGGAAAUUACAAGGGGAUGCCUUCUUAUGGAUUUAGCAUGUGAUAUCUAAUCCACUGUUGCUUCUGUCCUCUUUGUAUUUUGCUUUAUAGUCGCAAUAAGUAAAUUUGACUAUGGCUUUGGUAUUACAAGCUUUUUAUCAUAUAAAUGUUAAAUAAAAUCAACUUAAUUUUCAAAUAACAUAAAAAAUUUACCAAUCACUAAAGUAUUACUCAACCACGAUACUAAAUUGGACCUAAAUUUUGGAGGCUAAUUAUAUAAUAUUUGAUAAUAGAAAACUGAACAACUAAAAUAUUGCUUCAACUCGUUGAGAUAUACGUUUUCUAGUGGAGGAUAUUUUUGUUCAUUUGUAUUAUAGUUGUUUUCUUUCCCUUACCAUUCCAUUCUUGUAACCAAACGAAAGAAUCAAUAUUUCUUGACCAAACCAAACGAAUUAAAGAAAUCAAUAUUCAUUUCCCUAUUCUAUUCCCCUUUCCUUUACCCUUAGCUUUCCAUUCCAUUCUUGCAACCAUCAGUUUCCAAAAUUUGGUGGAUAUCAGUAGUCAUUCUGACUCUUUCUAAAAAUUUAUUCUUGAAUUGGAUAAACCCUUAAUCUUGAUAUGCCUUAUAUACACCAUGGUCACUUUUAGAUAUUUUAAAGGAAAAAUAUUGCCCUUGAGAGAACUUUAACCCUUGGAAAAUCUUAUUAUAAUCAAUCUUUCUUCAAUACUAGUUUUGGUACUUGAAGAAUUAUAGUAAGUUGGAGGAAUUGGUUGCAAUGGAAAAACAAGUUGGUAUGUUCUUUGAAAUGGUGCUCCGGUCCAAACGUCCUCACCAAGCUUGGACUUAAACUAUGAUCAAACAGCCAUCCAAACCUGCGGAUAAUUAUACUUAAUUAGGGUUCAAAAAUAUACAUGUGUGAUAUAGCUGAUGCAAAAGAAAUUCUAUCAUAUGAAAAUGAUUAUUUUGUUAAUAUCUUUACUCAUACCAUCUACUUGAAUGCCUCAUCUGAAAAUUAACCCGUAGUAGAAUUUUUUCAGGAGGAUAGAUCUCCCUCCGAAGGGAAUCAAAAGUGGAACCGGCGAGUCAUCUUUCUAUGUACUUGGCAUUAACUGAUUCAUCAGCUAUAACUCGUGGUUUUGCAAUACAAGUGCGUUUCACACUGCGAAUCCGGGAUCAAGUGCGGGUUGGGGUUGGCCAAGAUUUGCUUAACUCGGUUACUUAAACGAGGUAGGCAAUGUUUUGCUUGUAAAUGAUGUGUGCAUUGUUAAAGCAGAGGUCUCUGUGCCUGGAAUUUCCAAAGCACUGUGGUAAUAUAACUAAUGAGCAUUGUUACUUGCAAGAAAAUUGGGAUGCCGAUUUUUACUUCUAAUUUCUUAUAAUAAGAAUUAAUCUGAUUGUACCUACAGAUAGCUUUCGCGAAAGAAAUUCAGCUGCUGACACUCUCACCAUGUUUUGGUUUUCAAGUCUCCACACGGCGAUUAGAUGGGUUCAGCCUGUGAUAUCUAGUCAAAUGUUGAUAUAGUUGUCUCUGUAUUUUGCUUUAUUUCUCUUUAAUUAAUUUUUUUUAAAAAAAAUGGGAGAAAAAAUCUUCGUUGUUGUUAUAAGAUAUGUUUAUCCACCUCUUGAUCAAAAUGUACUUUCACACUAAUAACUUUAGAAAGUAAAUUAUAAAAAAUAUUUAUGAAUUGUGCAUCACAAAGUGUGUUGCUAAAUGCACGACUAAUUGAUGUAAUUUAUUGGUUAUAAAUACCCAUCAAUCAAAUAUAGCAAGAGAUUGAGACAUGAAAUAGCGAACGGGUGAAGAAAUUUUGUUAAUCGUUCUCUCAUUGACUUUCUUGUUAUUAUUUCUAAUCAUUUUAACUUCAUAUUCAUAUUAUUUGCAUGCACAAUAUACUUCCCAAAUUUGAUCUACAACAAAUUGUGAGUUUACGAAAUUGCAACGCAUUCCGAUUAUGUACAGGCUUUUUAUAAGAGUAUUACUGAACACAUUCAAGUUAUUCUCCCAUUGCACCCCUUCUUAAACCAAGUAGGUGUAAAAACUAAAAAGAGAUGAAGGAGGUGUAUUUAAAAGAUCUCUUUCACUAAAACAGUGGCCAUUAUUAACAAACAGAAAACGCAACCGUUGAGAUGAGGCUGGGAGAAAACUGGAAGAGAUGUAGAGGGAUUUUUUUUGUUCUUUCUAUUAUUAUUAUUUUUUUAAUUUUAAAUAUGCCAUUAAAAAAAUACUAUAAAAUACAUUCAUUCAAUAUAAAAUGUCAGCUUGAGAAAAUGUCGCUCAACCAUGUGUAAUGGGUGUAGGCAGAGCAGAGGCGUGUCCGCGUGUCCAUGGCCGUUCCAGUGUAAGGGCAUUUUAGACUUUCCCUCACAUGUUUUGUCAUGUUUAUGGAAUUUUAAUUUCAUUGGUGGCAUAUUCGGGGCAAAAUUAAAUUCCUCAAAAUUUCCUCUUUAUGCACCUAUAAAAGCUGACACGAUGCCUUUCAAAAACCAAAAAAAAAAAAAAAAAAAAACUGACACGAUGAACAGUUGAACACUUGAGACCGAAGCGUGAUGGGUAACCAAGAUCGAAAUUUCUGGUUUUGGUGGUGGUGAUAAUGAUAUGUAUGAUACUGCGUGGGUUAUUCGGAAUUUGGUUAUUGAUGCUUGCUAAAUAUCUAAUGUAUGAAAGCAGACGAGAGUAAUGGAGUUUUGUUGUGGCUAGGAAUUGAUUUCUUGGAGUAAUAAUGUGGCUUACCACUAGCUUGACUAGACAGAGAACGGCUUAUUAGCAAAGGCAAGGGACAGAAGGAGCCAAAAUUUUAGGUUUUCUAAGAAUAGGGAGAGGGUGAAGUAAAUAAAAUUACAAAUUUGUAAAAGAUCCUGAAAACCUAAUUUCAAAUGUUUAUCCAGAUGUCAGUGUUGUUGUCUACUCAUAUUAUAUAUUUUUAGCAGUCCAACAUAACGAUUUUUAGUAAUUUUUAUACUCAACUAAAAAUUAUGAAAUUAAACAUACAGUAAGUAGACAUAAUAAGGAAAAUUGGCGAAGUCAGACAUGCUGCUGAAAAUCAGAAUUUUCUAACACAAUUGUUCUAAUUUCGAAAAUUCACAACAAAUUGAUUAGUUGGAAUUUCUUUGCACAAAAUACAUCAUUGAAAACCUUGAGAUGUCUACUUUAAUUUUAUGGUGCAGAAAUUAAAUCAAAAAUAAAGGAAAAAUAGUAACCAAAUCACAAUGCUCAUGCCUCAUAAUGCCUGACUGGUCAUUCAUGAUAAAAAGAACAAUACAUGCAUUCAUCAUCAAAUACAUAAGAUCGUAUUAGAGAGCAUGAAUUAAAGAAGGAUAAAUACCUCAAAACUUCUUUCAAACAUGCAUAAAAGAAGACCUUGGAAUUCAUUUUUUUAAUACAUUUUUAUUUGGUUGAAGAAUUUUAAAUCAUAUGGAGAUAGGAAGAGUUUAAGUUUUAUAAAAACAAAUGCUUUUAUAAAAAUACAUUAUACGAUAGAUAGAUAAUCCCUCAUAAUUUAUUUUAAAAAAAUAAAUAAAAAGAAUUAUACCUUAUCUCAAAUAAUGCUAAUUAAAAUAAAUUUGCAACAAAAGAUAAACAAUUAAAUAGAUAAGCAUAAUUAAAUUCAAACAAAUAAUUAGAGAUGGGUGUUACAUUGGGAGUGGCCAAAAUUUGUUAAACUCGGUUACUUGAACAAUGCUAGCAAUGGUUUUCUUGUGAAUGAUGUGUGCAUUGUGGAAACAGGGGUGCCUGUGCUCGGAACUUCCAAAGCCCUGCAAUAUAUACUCUAAUUAGUAUUGUUACUCUUGCAAGAAAAUUGGAAUGCCAAUUUUUAAUUUUAUUUCUUAUAAUAAGAGUUAAUCUCAUUGUACCCAUAUAUUCUGGUAAAGAAAUUCUUAUGCUGACAUUCAAUAAUUGGCAGUUAAUUGUUUGUUAAGUCUCCACAUGGAGAUUAGAUGGGAUGCCUUCUUAUGGAUUAAGCCUCUGAUAUCUAAUUCAUUGUUGUAUUUCUCUCUCUAUAUUUUGCCUUAUAGUUGCGCUAGGUAACGUAUUAUAGGUUUUUUAUCUUACAAGUGUAAAAUAAAGUUAACAUAUCUUUCAAAUCACAUCAAUAAAUGUUUACUAAAUACUUAAGUGCUGCUUAACCACAAUAGCAAAUCGGGCCAAAAUUUGGAAAUUAAUUAUAUAACAUUUGAUAAUAAAAAAUAUAACAAUUAAAAUAUUGAUUCAACUCGUUGAUAUAUACAUUUUUUUGAUUGGAGGGUAUUUUUGUUCACUUGUAUUGUAGUUGUUUUCUUUCCCAUUACCAUUCCAUUCUUACAACCAAGCAAAGAAAUCAAUAUUCCAUAACCAAACCAAACAAAUUAAAGAAAUCAAUAUUCCUUUACCCUUUCCAUUCCAUUCUUGCAACUAUCAGUUUCCAAAUUUUGGUGAAUGUCAAUAGUCAUUCUGACACUUUUUGAAAAUUUAAUGUUAUCAUUCCAUUCUUGCAACUAUCAAUUUCCAAAUUUUGGUGAACAUCAAUAGUCAUUCUGAUACUUUCUGAAAAUUUACCCUUUCCAUUCCAUUCUUGUAACUAUCAGUUUCCAAAUUUUGGUGAAUGUCAAUAGUCAUUUUGACACUUUCUUUCCCAUUAGCAUUCCAUUCUUGCAACCAAACAAAGAAAUCAAUAUUCCUUAACCAAACCAAACAAAUUAAAGAAAUCAAUAUUCCUUUUACCCUUUCCAUUCCAUUCUUGCAACUAUCAGUUUCCAAAUUUUGGUGAAUGUCAAUAGUCAUUCUGACACUUUCUGAAAAUUUAAUGUUGAAUUGUAUAAACCCUCAACCUUGAUGCUUUAUAUAUACCAUGGUCCUUUUUAGAUAUUUUAAAGAAGAAAGGUUACUCUUGAGAUAACUCUAACCCUUAAAAAAUCUUAUUAUAAUCAAUCUUUCUUCUAUACUCUUUUUAGUACUUGAAGAGUUAUAGUAGUUUGAAGGAAUUUGUUGCAAUGGAAAAUCAAGUUGGUACGUUAUCAGGCUCUUUCCCUAGCUCCCUUUCUCUAUGUAUGUUUAUAUAUGUAAAUCGAACACUUUUAGCUUGUUAUUUUCUUAUCAGUGUUAAAAUGACUCUUGACAGCAGUUUCAAUAUCCAUUUCACAUGUACCACCGGCUCAUUUCCUACUCAAAAUACAGACAUUUUCGUCCCUUCUAGAAAAUAAUGUGGAAAGUUAUGAAUCUUCAGAAUUUAAUGUUGGAAGCCACAAAUGGUAUGGCCUAAAACUUAGUACACUAAUAUUAAGAUUACCUUAUUACUUAAUUAUAUAUCAUAAUCUAAUAUGUUAUUUAAUUCAUGAUGGUUUCAGGAAACUUGUUGUGUACCCAAAUGGAAAUUAAAAAAAAAGGUGAAAGAUCACAUCUCACUCUACUUGGCAAUGGCAGACUCAAGUUCUUUUGGUUUCGGUUGGGAAGUCUUUGUGAUUUUUCGCCUGUUUGUGCAUGAUCAGAACGAAGACACGUACUUGAUUCCUCAAGGUUGAUUAUUAAACUCAAGAAUAUUUAUGAUCAUUUUGUUCUUAAUUAUUUAACUGAGAGCUAAUCAAUGAUUUGACGUUACUUCAUCAUGUGGUAGAUGCAAUGGGAAAUGAAAGACGUUUUCAUGGGUUGAAGCUUGAAUGGGGUUUUGAUCAAUUCAUCCCGCUUAAAGAAUUUAACGAUGCUUCAAAUGGAUAUCUUGUGGGAGAUACAUGUGUUUUUGGAGCAGAAGUCUUUGUUAAAGAAAGGAACAUAGUCAAAGGAGAGUGCCUUUCCAUGAAGAAAUUCACAUCUGCUUCCCCUGAUAAGUAUGUUUGGAAGAUCAAGAACUUUUCAAACUUGGAGGCAAAGCGUUACGAAUCAGAAGUAUUCGUUGCUGGAGAUCAAAAGUGGUACUUAUACUUUCUGAAUUGCUGUUCAAGUACAGACGUUCGAGAGUUUUUAAAAUUCGGAUUUGAACUAUGACAAGUUGUACUUUUAACAACGAUUUACAACUCUAAUGUAUCAUAGACUAAAUCUAGACAUUUGUACCUGAGCAUGACUAAUACUUAGGGUUCAUUUGUACAUGCGCGAUAUAUUUCUGAUGCCGAUGCAAAAGAAAUUCUUUUGAGUAGUUUUGAAUAAUACAACUAGUUAAAAUAAUGCAUCAUGUUAAAACCACUUCUUCAAAUGUGUAAUGUAAAAUGAUUUGCACAAAUUUUUUUAUUUAUCUAUUCAUAUAUAUAAUCUAAGCAUCACAUCUGAAAGUUAAUGUUUUGAUAAUUUGUUAAAUGGAACCUCUUAGUAAAUAUGUACAAUUGAAUGCCGAGACUUAAACUUUACCCUUCUUGAUUUUUUCAGGAAGAUACAACUCUAUCCCAAGGGACACGGAGUAGCUAGUGGCAGUCAUAUUUCUAUGUACUUGGCAUUGGCUGACUCCUCAACUAUAACUCGUGGUUUUAAAAUAUACGUGCACUUCACACUGCGAAUCCGGAAUCAAGUGCGGGGAAAGCAUAAAGAAGCAAAAGGUAAUUAAAUAAAAAAAUUAUUAUCCCAAACUUAUUUCACAGGUGCAUGAAUUAAUGCAAUAAUAGUACUGCAACUAUAAGCUUUAUAGCUAAAUACAAAUAACUUGAGGCUUUCUUUAUUGUUGUUUCACGCAGCAAGUAUAUGGUUCAGUUACUUAAACGAGGCAGGCAAUGGUUUUCUUGUGAAUGAUGUGUGCAUUGUGGAAGCAGAGGUUUCUGUUCUUGGAAUUUCAAAAGCAUUGUGAUAAUUUAAAUUCUCGUUGUUGUUAUGAGAUAUACCUAUUCAUCUCUUGGUAAAAAGAAUGUGUAUUUUACACUAAUAACUUUAGGAAGUGAGUUGCAAAAGCAGCUCCAUGAUUUAUGAUGUAUGUGUGUAUCAUCAUACUCCUUGAAAUAUAAUAUACAUAACACCUUAAGAAUAAAAAAAACAUGUUGCUAAAUGCACGACCGAAUAUAUAUGCUUUAUUGGCUAUAAAUACCCAUCAAUCAAAUAUUUCAAGAGAUUGAGAAAUGAAACAGUGAACACGCGAAGAAGUUCUGCUAAUUAUUCUACCAUUGACUUAUUAUUAUUUUGCUCCUUUUAACUUCAUGCCAUUUUUAUUGUUUGACAUAUUUGUACCCCUUUUUUAUUCAAGUAAAGAGGUGUAUUUAAAAGAUCUCUUUCACUAAAACAGUGGCAUUAUAAAAAUUAAAAAACAGAGAACCCAACAGUUGAGAUGAGGCCGGGAGACCUCAAAGAGAUGUAGAGUUUUUUUUUUUUUUUUUUUUUUUUUUUUUUUUUUUUUUAAUUUUAAAUAUGCCGUAAAAAUGGCCAAUUUCCAGAACUACGCCUGCUUUCGGCUUUAUUCACUUAUAUGAGAUUACGACCGAGUGAAUUGCACAAAGACUAUAAAAUACAUUCAUUCAAUAUAGCAACACAAGUUCAAUACCUAAAAAACCUAUUUUGCCUCUCUCUCUCCAAUUUUUUUUUUUUUUUAAAGUGAUAGGCUUUCUUUAGUUUAAUUUUUCGUUCGUUAUAAUGCAUAGCAUAGAUAAAUUACUUAAGUACAAUUAGAUAAUUAUGGAAUAAUUAACAAAUAAUAUUAUCAUAAUUAAUUCAUUUUCGAUAAUAUUCGAGUAAUUAAAAAAUUAAAUAUAGAUCGAAUAUGAAAAUGAGUCUCACAAUUAUGUAACUAUUGGUUAAAAUAAAGUCGAGUAUGGUUGUCAACUAAAAAAAGGUCGGGCAGCUAACUAAUGGGUGUGGGUGGAGUGUGUCAUUCUAAUGGAAGGGCUUUCUAGACUUUUCCUCACAUAUUUGUCAUGUUUAUGGAAAUUUUAUUUUCAUUGAUUGCAAAAUCCUCAAAAAUUCCUCUUUAUAUACAUAUGAAGUCCGGAGACAAUAAACGGAUAAACACUCUUUAAGGCCGAAGCGUGAUGGGUAACCAAGAUCGAAAUUUCUGGCGGCUCGAAUCAAGGGAUCCAUAGAUACUUGGGAGAAAAGAAACAUCAAAAUAUAAAAAAUAUCCAAAAAUAAAUAAACAUAAAACAAAAAAAAAAGUGCAUAAAUACACGAACAAUACAGAGAGAGAGAGAGAGAGUUCUAGAAAGAGAGACAAUGGUGCUAUGGGAGAUCACAUUGGGAACAGCGUAUUUCUUGGGGAUGAAGCGGACGUACAGGCUUGCUUUGAGGAUUCAGGGCCGCGUUAUCAGCCCUAAGCACCCCCGGAUUCGUCAAUUUGUUCACCGGUAUAUUUGUGUUACUGUUGUUGUUAUUAUUAUUUGAUUAUUUCAUUUUGUUUGGAGUUUGAUUUUGAUUAAUUUGUAGCUUGAUGGGUUAGCAGUCAAUAGGUUUAUUAGCAGAUGGGUUUAAUUAAGCUAGGUGGUUUCAAGUGUUAAUUUUCAGUAAUGGGUUCUGUAGCUAUGUUCAUUACGGCAAUAAGAGCUGUUGAUUUUGGAGUCAAAAGAGGUUUAUGAUGAUGAUGGUGGUAUUCGUGGUGUUGAUAAUGAUAUGUAUUAUACUGAUAUGGGAUAUAUUAACAAUACAUUGCAAUGCAAUGUUCUUGUGUUUCACAAUUUUAUGAUAUUUUUCAAAAUUGAUCUUGGUAAUUUGAUAUAGUAGUGUGUGUUAUUUUGAAUUUGGUUGUUGAUGCUUGCUAAAGAUCUAAUGUAACAAAGCUGGGGAGAGUAAUGGAGUGUUUUGUGGCUAGGAAUUGAUUUCUUGCAGAGCUAAUGUGGCUUAAUAGCGGCUAGACAGAGAACUGCUUAUUAGCAAAGGCAACGGACAGAAGGAUCCAAAAUUUUAGGUUUUCUAAGAAUAGGGGGAGAGGGUGAAGCAAAUAAAAAUUACAAAUUUGUAAAAGAUCCUGAAAACCUAAUUUCAAAAGUUUAUCCAGAUAUGAGUCUUGUCGUCUACUUAUGUUAUAUAUUGCAGUGAAAGUAAACCAUGUUUACCUUACUGAAACUAUUUUUGUGUGAACUUAACUAUGGAGUAACUAUAUAGGAAGCAACAGACAUGAGCUAUCCUUGUAGCAUCUCCUAAUUACUUAUAUAUUUCCUUAGGAAGUACUCCUAUGCCAUCAAAAACCAUAAAAGCGUGUGUUCUUUAGGGAGGUAUUGUAUGGAUUUUGGUUUUCUUUUGGGGUCAAAGAUUCAUAGAAUUUCUCCUUGCUCUUCCCUUGUAUUCUCUCUUCUCACUACCUAUUGUACGAUUCUUUCUUCUAUUUUCCUUUCUUCAAAAAAAAUUUAGCUGAAAUUUCUACCUUCUAAUGCCUCUUCAAUGGGAUUUUGAUGGAUUAUGUGGAGUUGAUUGCGUCGAAUCUGAAUUCUAUAUGUUGCAGCAAUGCAUCCUGCGGAAUGGGAUUAUCUUAGGAUAUGUGUCCACGAUUAUGACGGCUUGUAUUUGCCUAUGUAUUGUCAUCUCUUUGAAAAGUCCACAAUUAUGAUGGCUUGUCUUUGGCUAUGUAUUAAUCAUCUCUUUGAAAAGUUACUUUGAUGGUGGUUCAUAAAUUGUUAUUCAUGGUCUGAAUUUUCUGUCUGAGUGCCAUGCCACUAGACCAUCUCUUAAAAUGGAAGUUUUCUUGUUAGAUGCACCUGUUGUACUCUACUUGUCUACUUUUGAGUGUGCCCCAUCUUGGCUAAUCCGAUGAACUUAUUGCUUCCAAUCUUAUGAGCUCCAUUGAAGUUUAGUUGUACAGAGGCCAAAUAUGUGCUUGAAUACAACUAUAACAAAGUACCAAUCUGUAUUUUAUUUGCGUUAAAUAUAUAAGAAUAUGGAAGGAAAAACUUUAGAAUAGUACUUCAACUAGUUCAUCGUGCAUCCUGACAUUUCUACUUCAGCUUGGUUGUAAGCUGAUGUGAAUGGUUCACAUUGACUUGAUAUCAUAUGCAAUAUGAGAGACCACUGGUCUCCUCCCUGAAAGCAAUUAUUCUUCCCUAUCUGACUUAGAAUGGCCCUGUGCCUUUCAUAAUAAAAUCAGCUUCUAAAUCUGUGAUCUUAUGACAUAUUGGAUAGGCUAGGUUGCUGAAUUUGUGAUUUAACCAAUUAUGGAGCAAAGCCAAUCCUUUAAAGGAUUAAGAGAAGUUACUAUCAACUCAGUUGAUCGUUGAAUAUCCGCAACUGCAACCUGCAUUCUCUCAUUCUAGAUUGGUGCAUAAUUUCUAUUGCGAAGUUUUGCAAACCUCCAACUAGUUUUGUCUGUGUGCCCAUUAUGGGAUUUGAAUCAACUUAUCUUUUAGAUUUGCCAUAUCAAACUUUUAACAAAAUGUUUUUGCUGUUUUGGCAUUAUGUUGAACCCUUGAUGUCAAAGCAACAUGUUUGCCAGCUUCUUGUAGUACCUGUAGGUGAAGCAGUUAGAGAGUUCAUAUGUAUUCCUGUGAACUUAUUAUCCAAUCAAGCUACAAUGCUCGGAUACCAGAACUAAUUUCAUUAUUAUGAGCACAUUCUUAAAUUGCUGUCUCUCUUUAGGUGAUGUGAAGAUUUUGGAGAAGCACAAGUACUAACGUCCAAAGCUGGAGCUCAUAGCUGUACUCUUGUUUAGUUCAGAGAGACUGUUUUGAAAUGAUAGAUUGAAAGUUCUUCUGUGCUUUUCUUUUUAAUGGGCCGUUGUAUUUUGAUGUUUAUUAGUAGGACGUUAUUAACUUCAUGAAAGUAAGUUACCGGGCACAUAUUUUUGCUCCAGAAUCCUUCCAAUCUAGUGCAUAAAAUGGAAAUCCUAAAUUAGUUAAUUGUUUCAAUACUUUGGACUUUGAAUUGAUUUAGUAUGCCUCAUGAAGCCAAUAAUUGCACAUCCUCCACUCUUAGAGUCUCAGUGUGAUAUUGCCCACGGUACUGCCUGAGCAUUGCAUUCUUCCCACUGGUUGGCUCAUUGGACUCCAUUUUACUGUUUAACUACUGCUGUUAUGUCAAUUACUAGCUGACAAAUACUGUUAUUUCUACAAUUGUUUUGAAUAAUAACAAAUUUAUUACUCCUCCAACUUGGAACUGCCAUUGUUUUUUGAAGACUGACCUUCAUUCUUCAUUGAUUUUUUCCACAGCCGAGUAUGUGCUGCCUUUGAUGUUGCUCUCAAGUUUCACAGGAACAUACAUGAGAGGGACAUAGAAGUUGGUAGAAAUGCUGGAUUCUACGUUGGCUUGACUGAAUGAAGCCAUCUGCCCAGAUACGUGGUCCCCCUGAGAAACCUUCACAUGGCCCCAACAUGAGCAUGACCAACCAUGGAAUGAAGUCCUUGAAUCCAAAAACUCCUGGAGUCCAAACAUCUAGAAACAAGGAAUCUGAUAGACAUCUGUUUAGCUCAUCAAAAAAUAUAUGGCCUAAACCACCCUUUUCUACCAUUGCCAUGAUGAUGCGGCAUCCAAGGCCUGCGGGAACGACAACCCAUUAUAGGCAUCUUGAGACAAAUGGAUCUGAUCUGUUGAGUUUGAACUACAAUAGAAAUGGGUUUGAUGGAGUCCUCGAACAUCAUGCAGUGGUUGCUGCAAAAGUGAAGGUAGAAGCUUUUCAGACACCUGUUAGUUUCUGAAGUUUUAAUUGCCAAUAAUUCAAUUAAAAUAUCUCACUCAAACCGCUCGCAUUAUUGGACUCCUAAAUUUGAAAUUCAUCCAUGCGAGUUAUGGUCCUGUUGCUUGAUCAUCAAGCCUUGAUCACUAAUUACUGAAGGGCUGCGUGCUGCGUGCUGCGAAAGCUGGCAAAGCUAGGUUUUAGUUGUUUUGCUUCUUUACUGAAAGAUAGUAAUUGUUCUCUCUGUUUUCAGUGACUCUAGGUUUUGUGUUUCCAAACCAGUAACUGCAUAGUUGCUUCUGGUAAUGUUUGUUUGUUUCUUUGUUUGUGAAGCAGAUUCCUCCAGAUUGGAAACGGCUGUGGUGAUGGCGAUCAUCUUUCUCUGUACUUGGCUUUUGGAGAUUCCACAGUCAAGGUGAUUAAAGUAUAUAUAUAUAUGCAGAGCAUACAUUGCGAAUCAUAGAUCAAGAGGGGGCAAAACAUAAAUCUUUUCGAGGUGAAAUAUCUGUGUUCACAUGCAAUUAGUAUUUGAGGCAAAUCCAAUGACUAUAACGAGAAUGUUGCUUUUACUCUAGUAGAGAAUAAAGACUGGUUCAAUACACCAAGCGAUAACUGGGGCCGGCCAAGAUUCGUUUCAUUGAGUGGGUUAGAUGAGCCAGAGACUGGAUUUCUAGUGAAUGGCGUUUGCGUGGUGGAAGCUGAGGUCACUGUGCUUGGAAUUUCCAAGCCAUUAUAACAAGUAAUUAAUUGUCCUCCAAAUGGGUUCUUUUAUUGUGUGAUGCUGACUGCUUGGCUAAUCUAGGAAAUUUAUUUUAGCUAUCAGGAAAUUUAUUUCUCUUGUGGUUUUCCAAAAUAACUCUUACGUUGCUUAUUGUUUAUGCUGUCAAGUGUCAAGCUAACUUUUUAGUGUUAUUUUGGUGUUCUAUUUCUCUGCAUCUCUUUAAGGAGAAAUUCAUUAUAUCCCCUACGCUGUAAUUUUUCUCUUCUAAGAUUUUGAUUUAAAAGAAAAAUGAAAAAUGAAAAAAAAAAGUAGUUGAAACGAAGAAAAUUGGGAUGCAAGAGAACUAAUAACUUCACUUACUAAGAAAAUGAAAACCAAGUAGAAUUGAACCUCAUUGAAUUAAUAUUGAUAAAUUGAUAACUCCUAUUAAAUAAUAGUUUUCUUCAGUUGACUUAGAGUCAAUAUGGUAAAUUAAUAAUUUGAUAAAUUUUAUUAGAUAAUAUAUUUUUAAAAAAAUUAUUUUCUAUAAGACCCAAUUAAUACAUGUAUUAAUAAUUAAUUAAUUUAAAACUAAAUACAUAUAAUAUGUCUAUGAUUUUUUUUUGUUGUAUUGGCAUAAUGCUUUAUGCAUUUUAUCGAUCAAUAUUACUUUUUUUACACUUUUCAGUUGAGAAGUUAUUGUUGUAUUAUAUGUGUUGUGGUAAGAGAAAUAAGAGAGAGAGAGAGAGAGAUAUUUAAUCUAUUGCCUCCAAAAAAUCUAUGUUGAUGAGUUACCAUGUAAUCAUGAUCCAACUAUACAAUCUAACCAAAGAAUUAUCAAAUGAUUGAUUCACUCAAUCAAGAUCGAAUUAAAAUCCUAUCAUAUAACAUGAUAAAAUCACUAAAUUCUGUAGUUAUCCUACGUUAGAAUCACUAAAUUUCUUUACUCAAAAAAAAAAAGAUCACUAAAUUUUCUAAUUAUACUAGCUCAGAAUCACUAAAUUCUUUAAUUAUACUAUCACUAUAUUUCAUAAAAAAAUCCUAUUAUCAACGUGAUAUUAUUUCUAUAAAGAUAAAUUAAUAUUUAUUCAUUUAUGGAUAUAAAAAAAAGUACCGACCAUUUUGUUCGGGGACUGAGGCAAUGGCGUUUCCUGUGUAUAAUAGGAGCUUUAGUUUUUUUAUUUAAAAGAAAUAAUGAAGAAAAAACAUGUCGUUAUCAGUACCACCAACUCAAUUUGCAAUUAAAAAAGAAGAAGAAAUUAAUCGACAGAAACUCACUUCCUGCUCUUGGUUCAUUUCAUCUUUCCAAGCUUAUGCUUCUACCAGGUGAAUCCAACAUGGAAUUGGAAAAAAUAAUGAAGUUAGAAAUGACAAUAACAUAAAAAGCUUUGGAUUCCCUCCGCCAAACUAUUACUUGAAAAGAAAAUGAGGGAAAAGCCUAGGAUCUCCGGCGAGAAUCUUAACUCUCAAGAUGAGACCAGAUAAUAAUGUAAUACUAGAGAGAUAACGUGAAAGGGUAACUUUCCGUAGCCAUAGAAGCAAAUUAUGUAAACCAAAAUUAUCCCAGCAAGCCAAUAUGAAUUCUUUCCACCUCAACCUGUUCAAAAACAGAGCAAGAUAAAGCUUAAAUGUCAAAAGAAGUGAAUCUUUUCAAUAAUGUGAAAGUAAAUAAAACAAUAAGGUAAAGAAUUAUGAUUUUUCCUAAUGCUUGCGUAAACAAUCAUGACCGAGGAAAACUUUCCAGAAAUAAGAACAGUGAAGACAUGAUUCACAGGCAUUAAACCCAAUAAAAUCCCUCACCAAUAUUUACCUCAUUAAAUUUUAAUGCCACCUACAAAUGGGAUGAUAAAACGAGUUGUCAUUCACAUAUUGCUUAUUCAUCAAUCUCUUCACCUUUGAUUAAAGUCGGGAGGUAACAUUCAAUUUGUGCAGGAACCAACAAACAAAAGAUGCAUUUUUUUUGUAGUAUGAAGACAAUUGAACCAACGAGCGUGAAGCGCCGCCCCCCCCCCCCCCCCCCCCAAACAAAAAAAGAAAAAAAGAAAAUUGAUGACCCACCUCAUAUGAUUUUAGUAUGCUUGGCAGUAUCAUUUUUUAUAAAAUUUCUGAGACUUUGUUUUCGGGUUAUGGUUAUAAGUUUUCGGGUCCCACGUCACAUGAUUUUCGGCCAAGCAGAAUUUAGUUUCCCUCCCUUUUGUCAGUCAAUGUGUUUCAGAAAUUUUGAUGGUGAUCAAAUCAAAAUUGAUGCUUCUAUUCAUGUAUCAGUGCAAUAAGUGAGCUAGUGAUAAUCGUGGCUCUAUUUUGGACUUCAGUACCUUUGAAGAGCUAGCUACCGGUCUUGUAGUUGUUUGACAUUAUGGGCGAGGGAGGAAGGUUAUGUUUUUUUCUGGUAUCACUGCUCCACUAACACUUUGCCCGUGUUUGAAUUUCAAUUCAUGCCAAAUUCUCAUCAAACAAAGAGAUCUUUUGAUUGUUAACAUGCAAGGUGCAAGUAAUCAAUCAUGGUUCUGUCUUGGUAAAAUUAUAUUACAAAUUAUAAUCAGUCAAAUUGAUCGUAUUUGAGUCGUUUUUAUAAUUUCAGUUUAGUUAGGACUUAAUUUAGUUUCUUAAAUUUUUAGGAUUAAAAUUAAGCUAAAUUUUAAGUUAACUUAUCUUCAAAAGAAAAAAAAAAAAAAAAGAUAUUCAAUAUACAGGGUGUGUUUCUCUAUUAUUUCUAUUUUUUUUCCCAUUUUGCAAUAUAUAUUCAAUCAACUCCUCAACCCUAAUGUAAUCCGAAUUCGAAACCCAAACCUUUUGAACCACCGCUAUUAUCAUAUUUGUAUAUUCACGUUGAUUAAUUAUUUAAAAUAAAUAUAUCAUCUAGGCUGUUAUGCACAAAGCUUUGGUUGGAUCUAAUUAGGAUUCAAUAAUAUCGUAUUUUUCAAUAUUCAUGCACAUUUUUAACUUAGGGCUAUUCUGUCGAUCUAGACUUAGGGUGCGUUUGGGUUUGAAGUUGGGCAGAGCUACAGCGCUAAAGUGUCUGAUAAACAAUAAUUGUUGUAGCUUAAAAGCUAUCUUAAUAUGAUUUUUCACUUGUAUGAUGAAAAAGGGAAAAAUCCUCUGUCAUCCCUAGGGUUUCAUGUAAUACCUCAUUUCAUCCCUACUUUUUAAAUAAUAACUCAAAACAUCCUUUUAUUAACUCAUUGUUAGUUAAAUGUCGUUUGUUAGUUAUUAUUGAGGGUAAAAAAAGAUUUUCUAUUAAAGAGAAAAUUAAAAAAAUAAAUAAAAGUUGACAUAUAACUAAAAAUGAUGUUUAUCUAAUCCCACUAAACAGUAAAUACCAAAAAAGAUGAAAACUUCUAUUUCAAACAAUUAUUUUACACUUCUCUCUAUUUUGGCAGCAUGAAAACCCUAUAGACUCUACAUUUAAGUACAAAAAAUAAUCAUAAUUUUAAUAUUCGUAUAAGCAUACUCUCUGAUUGUACUGUGAACCGACUUGGGGAGAUAGUGGAAAGGACUUGGGAAGACAAUAAUGGUCAAAGAAGAGUGGUGGCAAAGUUCAAAAUAAAAAUUGGUUGAAGAUUAAGAAGAUUUUCAGCACAUGUAAGCACAUAAAAUUUGGUUGUAUUUUUUAGUUUUUCUUCUAAAGAUUUAAAGAUAUUGUGCUAAUUACAAUUUGUUGCUUAUGGAAACUAUUAAGUGGUUAUAUCAAAUUACUUCAUCGUUGAUUUCAUUUAAGAAAAAAUUAAUAAAUUUGGCAUAUUUUGUAGUGUUACUUAAUUGUAUAAUGAAAUUAUUUUAAUAUAGUUUGAAACAUUUUAAUAAUAAUCAUAUUUUACCAAUUUAAAUGAAUUACUAGUUAACGGCAUUAAACUAACAGUGGUUAGCGGAAGGAUGUUUUGGGCUAUUAUUUAAAAAGUAAGGAUGAAAUGAGUUAUUGCAUAAAACUUUAGGGAUGAAAAGAGGUUUUUCCCGAUGAAAAAUCUAUUAUAUCUUUAAUAAUUUUAUCAAAAUUAUUAUUAAAAAUUCUUUUUACAAUAUACUAUUAACUUUUAUUUCAUAAUUACAGUUUUUUUUCUACAAUAGUUGUACCUUAAAAGUUACAACACUUCAAUUUCAAACAGACUCUUACUUUCGCUUUGAGCUUUGAAGUACAUUUUAAUACUUGCACAUUAUUAUACAUGCGAUUAAUAUCUAUAUAUUUGUUAUGUUUAAUUAUUAACAAUCAAGAAAUUUCUCCCCACAAAAUAAUCUGUGAAAUGAACAAUCGCUACAUGAGCUUAGAAUUUUCUAAGCGCUGUAACGAAGAUUAGUACAAACCAAAGAAAAUUUCGAUUGAGUUUAUAUUUUCGAGUUUGGUCAAUUAGAAAGUAGGAUGUAAACAGUCCAAUCAUUAGGCUUUUUAUUAAAUUUUUUUAUUUAUCCCCUAAUGUAGUAAUUAAUGAAGAUUCAUUGUAUAUUUGCUUAAAUCAAGUUUAUUCAUUGUAUUUUCAAGCAUCACAUUUUUAUGUUCUAGAUUCUAUGAAUUUUCUGAGAGAUAAAACUCAGUACCUCCUCCCAGUAAUUUUAUUUUUCUUUUAUUUAAAACGACUUCGUGCUGUCCAAGUUACCAAAAAUAAAAAUAAAAAUUCAACAACUUUUUGGAGAACUUUUCGCAAUGGAAAAUAUCUUUGUUAACAAAGAUGGUAUGUAUGUUCAACCUUUUCUCACGUUCUCUAGAGGACAAUAUUCUUAAAAUUUUCAGCUUAUUUUUAUUUCUAAUCAAUCGGUGUUAAUUAAAAAUUACUUAAAUGUAUAGCCAUUGCAAGAUACACUUCACUACCACCGGCUCAUUACAUUGUCAAAAUAAAAUCAUUUUCAUUACUUGCGGAAAAAGCAGAAGAGGAAUAUGAAUCAGGAGAAUUUGAAGUUGGAGGAUACGAGUGGUACAUAUAUAUAUAUUCUUAUCCUUAAUAACACAAGUUCAUUUACUUUGGAUUGGGAAGUCUCGGCAGUUUUUCGUCUGUUCUUACUUGAUCAGAACCAAGAAAACUACUGUGUAGUUCAAGGUUAAAUCAAAUUUAGUGUGCAGAAUUGUAUAUUGCAACAUUAGGAAAAAAAUUUGAAUGCAUGCAUAAUGAGUGGUUGCUUGUAAUGUGAUAGAUAUCAUGGGAAAGGAAAGACGGUUUAAUGGACUGAAGCAUGUAUGGGGUUUUGAUAAAUUUAUCCCGCUUAGAGCUUUCAAUGAUGCUUCGAAUGGAUACCUUGUCGAAGAUACGUGUGUUUUUGAAGCUGAAGUCCUUGUUAAAGAAAGAAACAAGUUAAUUCAAAAGAGAGUGCCGAUCUAUAAAAGAAAUUUCAAUUAGUUGUAAGUGUGUUUGGAAGAUCGAGAACUUACACGCAGGAUAUGAGGAAUCACAAGUUUUCGAUGCUGGAAAUCACAAAUGGUAUCAAAGAUUUUAAUUUUUUUUUAAUUUCUACAGGUAUAAUAAAUAAUGAGUUCUUGGGACAAAGUUGUCAGUGAGUGUAUGUUGGAGACUUAACACAUAUAACACUAAAAAAACACACUAUUUUAUUUCUUCAACAAUACUCCUCACCAACUACAACUCUUAUUUUUCACUCUCUACAACUUAGAGAUUUUGUUACUUCAUUUGAUACUUAAACUAAAGGGGAGAGGGAGUAUUUAUACAUGAAACAAACUAAUCACAACCAUUCAUUUAUUCAACUAAUAAACAAAUCCUUACCAUCCAUUAAAACAUAUCACUCACCUACUUCACCAACCACACCUACCACACCUAACACAAAUAAUUUAAACCUCAUCAACCUUCCAUGAGUUGGGCUUGAAUUUAUUCAUCUUGGAUCAAGUUUAUGAUCCAACAGUGUACAAUUAAUAAAAUACCGUUUCGGUGUUUUCAGGAAGACAGAGCUACACCCAUGGGAACUGGGCCCAAUGCUGGCGAUUGUCUUUCCUUGUUCUUGGUUUUUGGAGAUUCCACAGUUCGGAGUACUGUUAAAGUAUACGUAGAGUUUACAUUUCGAAUCUUAGAUCAAGUUCGGGCAAUGCAUGAAUCUUCUUAAGGCACAUUGCUUGCUUUAAUACGCAACUAAUUUAGUUGCCACUGACAGCUUGACCGAGUGAUUUUCAAGCAGUUUUCUUUAACUUUUGAUUUUGAAAGUACCUUUAACCCAAAAUAAUAAUAAUAAGCUUAAUUUGAGGCUAUAGAAUUCAAAUAAUGUGUAUAAUGAGAAUGAUUCUUUUUCUCUAGGAGGUAGAGAAACGUUCCAUGCACCAGGCGAUAAUAAGUGGGGUUGGUCGAGAUUCGUUUCAUUGAGUAAGUUAAAUGACCCAGAGAAUGGUACCUUGUGAACGACGUUUGCGUUGUGGAAGCUGAGAUCACUGUGCUCAGAAUCUCCGAGGCAUUGUAAUAAUAAGUAUUCUUCUUUGUUUCUCACAAAAUAAAGAAAUUCAUUGAUUUUUUGCUUACUUAUGCGAUCACGUUUGUUCAUUGACAUAAUUCUUAAUCCUGGAAGGAAAUCUCUGACAAUCUUAAUCCUGAAAUAAAAUCACAUCUAUCAAAUAUUACCAAGUGAGAUGGUGACAAAAACUCUUAGUUUUUAAUUAAAGAGAAGUAUUGAUAAGAUAAAUUUAGUACAAUAGGGCAAGAAAUUAAUAUUACAUAAAAGGAAUAUCAUUUAUGGACAUUUAAGAAUUCGAAAGAGGUAGUUUCUAAACUAAAAAAAGGAUCAGUAGCUAAAGUACUACUUAGUCACGUUUCACAAAAAUAUGUUACUGCAAAAUAAGAUAAUUAAUUUGGUGAAUAUCAAUGGUCAUAACAGUCCACAACAGUGAAUUAGAUAUUAGAUUUUUAUUUGUGCUUGAUAAAAAAAGAGACAAGUUCUUGAUUCUUCAAGAUUAAUUAUUAUACUCAACAAUGUUUAUUUUGUUCUUAUUUAAUUAUUUAACUAAGAGCUAAUCAAUGAUUUGGGGUCACCUUCAUGUAAUAGAUGCCAUGGGAAAUGAAAGAAGCUUGAAUUAGGUUUUGAUCAAUUCAGAGUUUAACGAUGCUUCGAAUGGAUAUCUUGAAGGACACGCGUGUUUUUAUAGCUGAAGUCUUUGCUAAGAAAGGAAUAAAGGCAAAGGAGAGUGCCUUUCAUGAUGAGAUUCACAACUGCUUCCAUUUAUAAGCAUGCAUGGAAGAUCGAGAACUCUUCAAAGUGCAGUCAAAGCGUUACGAAUCAGAAAUAUUCAUUGCUGGAGAUCAAAAUCUAGAUUUGAUGCUCAGGUCCAGACGUUCAGAGUUCAUAAAAUCUCGGUUCGAACUAUAAUCAAAGUUGUACAACUCUAAUAUAUAAUAGCCUAAAUCUAGACAUAUGUACCUGAACAGGACUAAUACUUAAGGUUGAUUUAUACAUGUGCGGUAUAUUUCUAAUGGUAAUGCAGAAGAAAUUAGAAUAGUACAACUUGUUAAAAAGGUGCAUCAUGUUAAAACCACUUCUUCAAAUGUAUAAUGUAAAUGAUUUGCUAAAAUUUGUUUGUUUCUCUGUUAAUAUAUAUAAACUAAAUGCCACAUUUGAAAGUUAAUGUUUUAAUAAUUUGUUAAGUGGAACCUCUUAGUAAUUAUGUACAACUGAAUGCCGAGACUUAAACUUUACUCUUGUUGAUUUUUUCAGGAAGAUAUACCUCUAUCCCAAGGGACAGAGAGAAGGACCUGGCAGUCAUAUUUCUAUGUACCUGGUAUUUGGCUGACUUCUCAACUAUAACUCGUGGUUUUUAAAAAUACCUUUGUUUCACACUGAAAUCCAAGAUCAAGUGUAGUCAAAGCAUAAUCAUAAAACUUUACCCUUGUUAUUAUUAACCCAAACUUUAACAGGUAUUGAAGUUCAUCAAUAAGCGUAGUAGCUAAAUACAGAUAACUUCAGGUUUCUAUUGUUGUUCCUGCAGCCAGUACAUGGUUUAGGAACUCAAUCGAAGAUUGGGGCUGGCACUAAUUUGUUGAACUCAGUUACUUGAACAAGGCAAGCAAUGGUUUUCUUGUGAACGAUGUGUGCAAUGCUGAAGCAGAGGUGUCCGUGCUUAGAAUUUCCAAAGCCCUGUAAUAUACUCUAAUAAGCAUUGCUACUCUUGCAAGAAAAUUGGGAUGCCAAUUUUUUAAUUUUAUUUCUUAUAAUAAGAGUUAAUCUCAUCGUACCCAAAUAUUUUGACAAAGAAAUUCAAUUGUUGCCGCUCGAUAAUUGGUGGUUAAUUGGUUGUUAAGUCUCCAAAUGGAGACUACAUGGGGAUGCCUUCUUAUGGGUUUAGCCUGCGAUAUCUUAUUCAUUGUUGCUUUUUUUUUUUAUCUCUGUAUCGCAAUAGGUAAGGUACUAUAGGCUUUUUUUAUCUUACGAGUGUGAAAUAAAAUGAAUUUAAAUUAAUAAGUAUUUAUAGAACACUUAAGUGCUGCUCAACCAUAGUACUAAAUCGGGCUUAAAUUUUGGAAGCUAAUUAUAUAUUAGUUGAUAAUAGAAAAUAGACAACUAAAAUAUUGCUUCAGCUCGUCGAAAUACACGGUUUUUGAGUGGAGAGUACAUAUUUUUGUUCAUUUGUACUGUAGUUGUUUUCUUGCUUCUUACCAUCCAUUCUUGCAACCAAGCAAAGAAAUCAAUAUUCCUUGACCAAACCAAACAAAUUAAAGAAUCAAUAUCCCUUUUCCCCAUUGCAUUCCCAUUUCCAUUCCAUUCUUGCAACCAUCAUUUUCCAAAACUUGGUGAAUACCAAUAGUCAUUCUGAUUCUUUCUAGAAAUUUAACGUUGAAUUAUAUAAACCCUCAACCUUGAUCCUUUAUAUGUACCACGGUCCCUUUUAGAUAUCUUAAAGAAGAAAUAUUACUCUUGAGAGAAUACCCUAGCCCUUGAAGAAUCUUAUUACAAUCAAUCUUUCUUUAGUACUAGUUUUUGUACUUGAAGAUUUAUAAUAGUUUGGAGGAAUUUGCUGCAAUGGAAAAGAACUUUGUAGGCCAAGUUGGUAUGUUCUCUGACUCUUUCCCCACCUCCCCUUUUCUAUAUAUGUUUAUAUAUGUGCAUUGAAAAUUUCUAGCCUGUUAUUUUCUGAUCAAUGUUAAAAUUACUCUUGACAGCAAUUUCGAGAUCCAUUUCACAUGUACCACCGGCGCAUUUCUUACUCAAAAUAGAGGUAUUUUCAUCUCUUGUGGAGAAUGAAGGGGAAAAGUAUGAAUCUUUGGAAUUUGAUGCUGGAGGCUACAAGUGGUGUGGCCCAAAACCUAAUCGUACACUAUAUUCAAAUCACCUUAUUACUAAAUUACAUAUCAUAAUCUAAUAUGUUAUUUUGAAUUCAUGAUGGUUUCAGGAAACUUGUUGUCUACCCAAAUGGAAAUAAAAAUGAAAAUGUGAAAGACCACAUCUCAGUCUACUUGGCUAUGGUAGACACAAGUUCACUUGGCCUUGGUUGGGAAGUCUAUGUGAUUUUCCGCCUAUUUGUGCUUGAUCAGAAGAAAGACGAGUUCUUGAUUCUUCAAGGUUAGUUAUUACACUCAAACACUCAAUAAUGUUUAUGAUUGUUUUGUGCUUAAUUAUUUAAGUGAGACCUAAUCAAUGAUUUGGGCCGGUCACCUUCAUGUGAUAGAUGCCAUGGGUAAACAAAGACGUUUUCAUGGAUUAAAGCUUGAAUGGGGUUUUGAUCAAUUCAUCCCGCUUGAAAAAUUUAUUAAUGCUUCGAAUGGAUAUCUUGUGGGAGAUACGUGUGUUUUUGGAGCAGAAGUAUUUGUUAAAGAAACGAAAAAAUGCACAAGAGAGUGCCUUUCCAUGACGAAAUUGACAUCAGCUUCCAUUUGUAAGUAUGUUUGGAAGAUCGAGAACUUUUCAAAAUUGGAGGCAAAGCUUUACGAAUCAGAAGUAUUCGUUGCUGGAGAUCAAAAGUGGUAUGUAUGCUUUUUGAAAUGGUGUUUAAAUUAGUUCGGAGUUUUUAAAAUUCGGAUUUGAAAUAUGAUCAAAGUUAUACAUUUAACAGCAAUUUACAACUCUAAUAUAUCAUAGUCUAAAUCUAGACAUGAGCAUGACUAAUACUUAGGGUUCAUUUGUAGAUGUGCAAUAUAUUUCUGAUGCACAAGAAAUUCCUUUUAGUUUUGAAUAAUACAAUUUGUUAAAAAGAUGCAUCAUAUUAAAACCAUUUCUUCAAAUGUAUAGUGUAAAAUGAAUUGUUAAUUUUUGUUUUUUUUUCUCUAUCCAUAUAUAUAAUCUAAAGGCCACAUCUGAAAGUUAACGUUUUGAUAAUUUGUUAAGUGGAACCUUAAAUAUGUAAAAUUGAAUGCAGAGACUUAAUAUUUACCCUUGUUGAUUUUUUCAGGAAGAUACGCCUCUAUCCCAAGGGACAGGGACAAAGGACUGGCAGUCAUCUUUCUAUGUUCUUGGCAUUGGCUGAUUCAUCAACUGUAACUCGUGAUUUUAAAAUAUACGUGCGUUACACAUUGCGAAUCCGAGAUCAAUUGCAUUCAAAGCAUAAUGAUAAAAUAGGUAAGUUAUUAUUAACCCAAACUUUAACAGUCAAUGCUGUUCAAUAAGCUUUAUAGCUAAAUACAAAAAACUUGAGGCUUUCUAUUAUUAUUGUUUCAUGCAGCAAGGACAUGGAUCAGGCCCCCCAUUGGAGCUAGGGGUUGGCCACAAUUUGUUGAACUCAGUUACUUGAACAAGGCAAGCAAUGGUUUUCUUGUGCAUGAUGUGUGCAUUGUGGAAGCAGAAGUAUUUGUGCUUGGAAUUUCCAAAGCCCUGUAAUAUAUUAGUAUAUAACUAAUAAGGAUUGUAACUCUUGCAAAAAAAAAUUGGGAUAUCUUAUAAUAAGAGUUAAUCUCAUUGUACCUAUAUCUUUUAGCAAAGAAAUUCAUGACACUCAAUAAUUGGCGGUUAAUUGGUUGUUAAUUCUCCACAUAAAGAUUACAUGGCGGCCUUCUUAUGGGUUUAGCCCAUAUAUCUAAUUCAUUGUUGCUUUUUUACUCUGUAUUUCGCCUUAUAGUCACAAUAGAUAAGGUACUUUGGUUUUUCAAUUCAGAUUCUAAUUUUCAAAAUUAUUGCCACAUGACAAAGCACUUUAAUUAAUCACUUUCUUUUAUAUACACACACAUACUCUAGUGAGAGCAUCUUCAUUUUGUAUCAGUAAAAUGCAAAAAAAUACAAAUUUCAAUACACUAACAUAUAAAAGAACAAAGUCUCUAAUGUGUUAAAAUAUAUAUCUUUUUUGUGUUUUAGUGGCAUCCCCAGUCCUUACUAGAGAAGGACUUUAUGAUAACUGGAUUAUUUACUUUGGACAUUGUUAAACUUAAAUAUAAUCAUUACCACAUGACAAAGCAAUUUAAUUUUUUUAUAACUAGGUAUCGCUCAUAACUUGAUUAUUCAUUUUUUUUGUUACUUUUUUUUAAAGAACAGUUCUCAAUGCUUUUAGCUAUGUUAUCAAUUCAUUUCUUUCAAGAUCUAAUUUGGCAUCUCACUUGCUUAAUGCUAGUGAUUUGAAAUUGCUCGGAGUAAUUCGCAGAGCUUUCUCUUAUUGCAUAUGUAUUAGCGGGAAUUAGGUUUUAUUCAUUGCUUCUUUGGGAAAUAUUAAUAUAAUUUCUAGUGCAACUCAGUAGCAAUAAUUGAUUACUAGAAAAUGUGUAAGCUGGCCUACAGCGGAACUAGUUCACUGGAAAUGAAAACAAAAAUGUGAACGAUCACAUCUCACUCUACUUGGCAAUGGUAGACACAAGUUCACUUGGAUUUGGUUGGGAAGUCUAUGCAGUUUACCGCCUAUUUGUGCUUGAUCAGAACAAAGACGAGUUCUUGAUUCUUCAAGGUUGAUUAUUAUACUUGACAAUGUUUAUGAUUAUUUUUUUCUUAAUUAUUUACCUAAAAGCUAAUGAAUGAUUGGGGGCCACUUCAUCAUGUGGUAGACAAGGGUGGCUUUAAGUGUAGGCGAACAAGGCGAUUGCCUAAGGUCCUAUAUUUUUUGAAGGCCUCAUUUUUUUUUAGUGUUUCUUAAUAGUUCUUUAAUUAAUAAAGAUCUUUUUUUUUUUAAUUAUGUAUUGUAGAGAAGCCUAUUAGACAUCUUUAUAAUUAACAGUUAUACCACAACUAAGAAUUAUUAUUAUUAUUUUUUUUAUAGAAAAUCAAUAUUUGGUAACCUUAAUGUUCAAGAUAUAUAAUUAAUAAAAUUUUUUAGCUAUUAAUUCAUUCAUUAUUAGUUUUUCCAAAAAAAAUUAAUUAAUUUUUUACCUUUUAAGUUUCCUAAAAAAAUUAAAUUCUUUGACUUUUAAUAUUCCUUUUAAUUUCCAUUAAAACCUUGUAAUAUAAUAUAAAAAUCAAUAAAUAAAUAGAUUUCUUGCUCUUUUUUUUUUUACAAAGAGAAUUAUUACAUUCAUUAAUUCAUGUAAAAAAGAAAAAAAAUUAGUUUCUUAAAAUAUAAAGUGCAUAUCUAUUAUUUCAUAAUCAAUUCAUUAUCUCAACUUUAUGCUAUUCUAAAUAUUCUAUUUGAAAAUAAUAUUGUUUUUAUUUAUUUGUUUGUUUAUUUUUGUAAUAAUUUUAAUGGAAGUAAAAAAGAUAUCUUCUUGGUUAUUUUUUUAGGUUUGGUUUUUGAAAAUUUUUAAGAUAUUUUUUAUUACUAUUAAAAUUCAAGAGUUAAAAGCCGAAUGAAUUUUUCAGUCUUUUAUAUUUCUUUGAGUAUUAAAAUUGUAAAAUAAAAAAAGGCCCCACAAAAAAAUUUUGCCUAAGGCCCCAUAUACUUUAAAGCCGGCCCUGGUGGUAGAUGCCAUGGGAAAAGAAAGACGUUUUCAUGGAUUGAAGCUUGAAUGGGGUUUUGAUCAGUUCAUCCCACUUGAAGAAUUUAACGAUGCUUCGAAUGGAUAUCUUCUGGGAGACACGUGUGUUUUUGGAGCAGAAGUAUUGGUUAAAGAAAGGAACAAAUGCAAAGGAGAUCAAAAGUGGUAUGUAUGCUUUCUGAAAUGGUGUUCAAAUUCAUUCGGAGUUCAUAAAAUUCGGAUUUGAAAUAUGAUCAAAGUUGUACAUUUAACUGCAAUUUUCAACUCUUUUAUCAUAGACUAAAUCUAGACGUUCAUACCUGAGCUGAGCAUGACUAAUACAAAGGGUUUAUUUGCACAUGCACGAUAUAUUUCUGACGUUGACACAAAAGAAAUUUGUUUGAGUUUUGAAUAAUACGACUUGUUUGAGAAUGUCUCAUAUUGAAAACCACUUCUUCGAAUGUAUAAUGUAAAAUGAUUCGUUAAAAUUUGUUUGUUUCUCUACUCAUAUAUAUUAUCUAAAUGCCACAUUUGAAGGUUAAUGUUUUGAUAAUUUGUUAAAUGGAACCUCUUAGUAAAUAUGUACAAUUGAAUGCAGAAACUUAAACUUUACCCUUGUUGAUUUUUUUUUAGGAAGAUACUACUAUAUCCCGAAGGACUGGAUGAAGGUUGUGGCAGUCAUCUGUCUAUGUUCUUGGCAUUGGCUGAUUCGUCAACUAUAACUAGUGGUCUUAAAAUAUACGUGCAUUUUACACUACAAAUCCAGCAUCAACUGUUGUCAAAGCAUAAUGAAGAAAAAUGUAAAUUAUUAUAACCCCAAACUUUAAUAGGUAAUGCAGUUCAAUAAGCAUUGUAGCUAAAUACAAAUAACUUCAGGUUUCUAUUUUUGUUCUUGCAGCUAGUACAUGGUUCAGUGCCACAGACGAAGAUUGGGUUGGAUAGAAUUUGUUGAACUUAGUUUCUUGAACAAGGAAGAAAAUGGUUUUCUUGUGAAUGAUGUGUGCAUUUUGGAAGCAGAGGUGUCUGUGCUUGGAAUUUCUAAAGCCGUGUAAUGUAUAACUAAUCAGCAUUGCUACUCUUGCAAGAGAAUUAGGAUGCCAAUUUUAAUUUUAUUUAUUAUAAUACUAGUUAAUCUCAUUGUAUCCACAUCUUUUGGCAAAGAAAUUCAUUUGCUCGCACUCGAUAAUUGGUGGUUAAUUGGUUGUUAAGUCUCCACAUGGAGAUUACAUGGGGCUGCUUUCUUAUGGGUUUAGCAUGUGAUAUCGAGUCUACUGUUUCUUUUGUUCUCUUUGUAUUUUGCUUUAUAUCAGCAAUAGGUACACUUGGCGAUGGCUUUGGUAUUCUUAGGUUUUUAAUCGUACAAGUGUGAAGUGAAAUCAAUUUAACUUUCAAAUUACAUAAAAAAAAUAUUUACCAAACAAUUAAUUGCUGCUCAAUCAAAAUACCAAAUCAAGCCUAAAUUUUGGAAGUUAAUUAUAAAAUUUUUGGUAAUAAAAAUAAAACAACUAAAAUAUUGCUUCAACUUGUUGAAAUAUACAUUUUUUUAGUGGAGGGUAUUUUUGUUAAUUUGUAUUGUAGUUGUUUUCUUUCCUCUUACCAUUCCAUUCUUGCAACCAAACAAAGAAAUCAAUAUUCCUUUCCCCUUUCCUUUACUUUUAGCUUUCCAUUCCAUUCUUGCAACCAUCAGUUUCCAAAAUCUGGUGAAUAUCAAUAUUCAUUAUGAGAGAACUCUAAUCUUGAUCCUUUAUAUAUACCAUGGUCCCUUUUAGAUAUUUUAAAGAAAAAAAAUUACUCUUGAGAGAACUCUAACCUUAAAAAAUCUUAUUAUAAUCAAUCUGUCUUCAGUACUGGUUUUGGUAUUGGAAGAAUUAUAGUAAUUUGAAGGAAUUUGUUGCAAUGCAAAAACAAGUUGUUAUGUUCUUUGAAAUUGUGUUGCGGUCCAAACGUUCAAACUUUACUUGUUUCCAAUUAUAAGCAUGUUUGGAAGAUCGAGAACUUUUCAAAGUUAGAGUACACGAUUUACGAAUCAGAAGUAUUCGUUGCUGGAGAUCAAAAGUGGUAUGUAUGCUUUCUAAAAUGGUGUUCAAAUCCGGACAUUCGGAGUUCAUAAAAUUCGGAUUUAAAAUAUGAUCAAAAUUCUUCAUUUAACUGCAAUUUAAAACUCUAAUAUAUCAUAGAUUAAAUCUAGACCCGAGCAUGGCUUAGGGUUCAUUUGUACGUGUGCAAUAAAUUUCUGAUGCAAAAGAAAUUCUUUUGAGUUUUGAAUAAUACAACUUGUUGAAAAAAGAUGCAUCAUGUUAAAACCACUUCUUCGAAUGUAUAAUGUAAAAUGAAUUGUUAAAAUUUAUCCUUUUCUCUAUUCUUAAAUAUAAUCUCAAUGCAAUAUCUGAAAGUUAAUGUAUUGAUAAUAUGUAUAAUUGAAUGCAGAGACUUAAACUUUACCCUUGUUGAUUUUUUUUCAGGAAGAUACUACUCCUUCCCAAAGGACUGGGAGAAGCUAGUGGCAGUCAUAUUUCUAUGUACUUGCGGUUGACUGACUUGUCAACUAUAACUGGUGAUUCUAAAAUAUACGUGCUUUUUACACUGCGAAUCCGGAAUCAAUUGCUGUCAAAGCAUUAUGAAAAAAAAGUAAAUUAUUAUAAACCCAUACUUUAACAGGUAAUUCAGUUCAAUAAGCUUUGUAGCUAAAUGCAAAUAACUUAAGGUUUCUAUUGUCGUGUUCGCAGCUGGAGAAUGGUUAAAUACCUCAACCCAAUUUGGGGGUUGGAAAAAAUUUGUUGAACUCAAUUACCUGAACAAGGCAGGAAAUGGUUUUCUUGUGAAUGAUGUGUGCAUUGUGGAAGCAGAGGUGCCUUUGCUUGGAAUUUCCAAAGCCCUGUAAUAUAUAUUCUAAUGAGCAUUGUGACUCUUGCAAGAAAAUUGGGAUGCCAAUUUUUAAUUUUAUAUCUUAUAAUAAGAGUUGAUCUCAUUGUACCCACCUCUUUUGGCAAAGAAAUUCAGUUGCUGACACUCGAUAAUUGGUGGUUAAUUGGUUGUUCAGUCUCCACAUGGAGAUUUCAUGCGGAUGCCGCCUUAUGGGUUUAGCAUGUGAUAUCUAAUCCACUGUUGCUUUUUUCCUCUUUGUAUUUCGCUUUAUAAUCGCAAUUAGUAAACUUGGCGAUGGCUUUGGUAGUACAAGUUUUUUAUUAUACAAGUUGCAAUAAAAUCAACUUAACUUUCAAAUCACAUUAAAAAAUAUUUAACAAAUGCUUAAGUACUGCUCAACCACAAUACUUAAUUGAACCUAAAUUUUGCAAGUUAAUUAUAUAAUAUUUGGUAAUAGAGAACAAAACAACUAAGAUAUUGCUUCAAUUUGAUGAAAUAUACAUUUUCUAGUGGAGGAUAUUUUUGUUCCUUUGCAUUAUAGUUGUUUUCUUUCCCCUUACCAUUCCAUUUUUGUAACCAAACGAAGGAAUCAAUAUUCCUUUAUCGAACCAAACAAAUUAAAGAAAUCAAUAUUCCUUGACCAAACCAAACAAAUUAAAGAAAUCAAUAUUCCUUUCCCCAUUCUAUUCCCCUUUUCUUUACCCUUAGCUUUCCAUUCCAUUCUUGUAACCAUCAAUUUCCAAAAUUUGAUAAAUAUCAACAGUCAUUCUGACUCUUUCUGAAAAUUUACUCUUAAAUUGUAUAAACCCUUGACCUUGACAUGCUUCUAUAUACCAUGGUCCCUUUUAGAUAUUUUAAAGGAAAAAUAUUACUCUCGAGAGAACUCUAACCCUAGAAAAAUCUUAUUAUAAUCAAUCUUUCUUCGAUACUAGUUUAGGUACUUGAAGAAUUAUAGUAAUUUGGAGGAAUUUGUUGCAAUGGAAAAAAAAAGUUGGUAUGUUCUUUGAAAUGGUGCUUCGGUCCAAACGUCCCUAUCAAGCUUGGAUUUAAGCUAUGAUCAGACAGACGUCCAAACUUGAGGAUAAUUAUAUCUAAUUAGGGUCCAAAAAUAUACAGGUGUGAUAUAGUUGAUGCAAAAGAAAUUCUAUCAUAUGAAAAUGAUUUGUUUGUUAAUAUCUUUACUCAUAUCAUCUAAUUAAUUAAAUGCCUCAUUUGAAAAUUAACCCUUAGGCCAUGUUUGCUUGGGGGUAGAGGAGUGGGGAGAGGAAAAGAAUUUGAUUUCUUUUCAACUUUCCACUAUUUGGUUGGACCAAAUUCAAUGUAAUUGAAUUUUCAUUAAAAUUCAAUUUCCAUCAAAUUGAAGAAUUUGUAUUCCUUAUCAAUUGGUAAGGAUUUUCGAAUUUCUCAUCUAUUGGAAUACAAAAAUUCCAAUAUUAUUCUCUAAUAAAUUUAAUUUUAAAUAAGUUAAAGUGCAAAUAAUUUAUAUUUAUUUUCUUAAAUUAAGAGGAUAAUUUAUUUGAAAAAAGAAAAAAGCACUGAGGUGAAUCGCCAGACCGUCACCGGAGACUCGCCGGAGUUUCGCCGGAGAUGCAUUUCACCAUCAAAACUGGUACCAAUGGAAUCCUUGUAAGCCGAUCUACAACUCUAUGGAGUUAGAAUGCUAAUAUACAUUGUUAUUCACCUCAAAUCUUGUUUAAAUAUUUGGGAAUAUUUUAACUCCCAUAUUUCCAACUAUAUAGUGUAUUUUCUACAAAAUUAACACUUCCAAAGGAUAAAUCGUCCAUUUAUGAUCAUUAUUAUGUAUUUAAUGCGAUAAAAGAUAGCGGUCAACAUCAGUAGCGUCGGUCAACAACGACGUAAUUUUUAUUUUAAAAAAUAAAAUUCUCUAUUUAACUAUGUAAUUUCAAACAGGAAGAGAUGUAGAGGGAUUAUUAUUAUUAUUAUUUUAAUUUUAAAUAUGCCAUAAAAAAAUACUAUGAAAUACAUUCAUCUAAUAUAACAACACAACUUAAGUACCUAAAUCCCUAUUUUUUCCCUCUAUCUCUCUCUCAAUUUUUUGUUAUUUUUUCUUUUUUUUAAAAAAAAAGUUACAGACUUUUUUAAUUUAAUUUCUUGCUCGUUAUAAUACGUAGAUAAAUUACUUAAUUAUGUUAGAUAGUCAUGGAAUAAUUAACAAAUUAUUGAAUCAUAAUCUGUAUAUUUUCAAAAUAUUCGAGCAAUUACAAAAUUUAUUUAAAUAAAACCGAAUGUCGAUCGAGAAUGAAUAUGAGUAUCAUAAUUACGUAACCAUUAAGGUGGAGGCUGGUCGCGCAAGGCGCAACCAUAUGUGAUGGGUGUAGGCAGAGGCCGAGAGGCAUGCCUAUGGUCGUUCCAAUAUAAGGGCAUUUUAGACUUUUCAUCACAUGUCUUGUAUUCGAUGCAAAAUCAAAUUAAAUUCCUCAAAAUUUCCUCUUUAUAUGCAUAUAGAAGCUCACAGAAUAAACAGUUGAACACUCAAGACCGAAACGUGAUGGGUGACGAAGAUCGAACUUUCUGGCGGCUUGAAUCAAAGAAUCCAUAGAUUUUACUUGGGAGAAAAGAAACGUCAAAAUAUAAUAAAAAAAUAUACAAAAUAAAUAAACAUAAAACUAGAAAAAAGAAGUUCAUAAAUACACACACAGUGAGAGAGACUCAAAGAGAGUGAGAGUUCUGGAAAAAUAGAGAAUGGUGCUGUGGGAGAUCACAUUGGGAACAGCGUAUUUCUUGGGACUGAAGCGGACUUACAGGCUUGCUUUGAGGAUUCAGCGUCGCGUUAUCAGCCCUAAGCACCCUCGGAUUCGUCAAUUUGUUCACCGGUAUAUUUGUGUUGUUUUAUUAUUAUUAUUAUUAUUAUUAUUAUUACUUAAUUAUUUUGUUUUGAGUUUGAUUCUGAUUAAUUUGUAGCUUGAUGGGUCAGCUAUCAAUAUGGUUAUUAGCGGAUGAGUCACAGAUUGGGAAUGGGCUUUUUCAAGUGUAUUUAUUGAUUAAGCUAGGUACUAGGUAGUUCAAGUUUUAAUUUUCAUUAAUGGGUUCUGUAGCUAUGCCCGUUAAGACAAUAAGAGCUGGUGAUUUUAGAGUCAAAAAAGCAUUAUGAUGAUAAUGAUGAUGGUGGUGGUGGUGUUGGUAGUGUUGAUAAUGAUACGUAUGAUACUGAUAUGGGUAUACUAACAAUACAUUGCAAUGCAAUGUUCUUUGUUUCACGAUUUUAUGAUAUUUUUCGAAAUUGAUCUUUGGUAAUUUGAUUUAACUGUAUGGUUGUGUUUGUUAUUUGGAAGUUGGUUAUUGAUGCUUGCUAAAGAUCUAAUGUAAGAAAGCAGAGGAGAGUAAUGGAGUUUUAUUGUGGUAGGAAUUGAUUCCUUGGAGUAAUAAUGUGGCUUACUACCAGCUUGGCUAGAUAGAGAACGGCUUAUUAGCAAAGGCAACGGACAGAAGGAACCAAAAUUUUAUGUUUUCUAAGAAUAGGGAGAGGGUGAAGUAAAUAAAAUUACAAAUUUGUAAAAGAUCCUGAAAACCUGAUUUCAAAAGUUUAUCCAGAUAUAUGUGUUGUUGUCUACUCAUAUCAUAUAUUGCAGUGAAAGUAAGCCAGGUUUACCUUAUAGAAACUAGUGUUGUGUAAACUUAACCAUGGAGUAACUAUAUAGGAAGCAACAAACGUGAGCUAUCCUUGUGGCAUCUUCUAUGUACUUAUAUAUUUCCUUAGGGAGUAAUCCUAUGCUAUCAAAAAUCAUAAAAGCGUAUGCUCUUUUGGGAGGCAUUGCAUGGAUUUUGGUUUUCUUUUGGGGUCAAUGAUUCAUAGAAUUUCUUCUUGCUCUUCCCUUGUAUUCUCUCUUCUCACUACCUAUUUUACUGUUAUCUCUUCUAUUUCACUUUCUUUAAAAACUUUUCAGCUGAAAUUUCUACCUUCUUAUGCCUCUUCAAUCGGAUUUUGAUGGAUCUUGUGGAGUUGAUUUUGUCAAAUCUGAAUUCAAUAUGUUGCAGCAAUGCAUCCUACGGCAUGGGAUUAUCUUAGACUAUGUGUCCACAAUAAUGACGGCUUGUCUUUGCCUACGUAUUAAUCAUCUCUUUGAAAAGUUACUUUGACGGUGGUUCAUAAAUUGUUAUUCAUUGUCUGAAUUUUCUGUGUGAGUGCCAUGCCGUUAGACCAUCUCUUAAAAUGGAAGUUUUCUUGCUAGAUGCACCUAUUGUAUUCUGCUUGUUUACGUUUGAGUGUGCCCCAUCUUGGCUAUUCCAAUGAACUUAUUGCUUCCAAUCUAAUGAGCUCCAUUGAAGUUUAGUUAUACAGAGG
rnacentral:lncRNA from 1 species